rnacentral:rRNA from 2 species
GUGCCAGCAGCCGCGGUAAUACGAAGGGUGCAAGCGUUACUCGGAAUUACUGGGCGUAAAGCGUGCGUAGGUGGUCGUUUAAGUCCGUUGUGAAAGCCCUGGGCUCAACCUGGGAACUGCAGUGGAUACUGGGCGACUAGAGUGUGGUAGAGGGUAGCGGAAUUCCUGGUGUAGCAGUGAAAUGCGUAGAGAUCAGGAGGAACAUCCAUGGCGAAGGCAGCUACCUGGACCAACACUGACGCUGAGGCACGAAAGCGUGGGGAGCAAACAGGAUUAGAUACCCUGGUAGUCCACGCCCUAAGCGAUGCGAACUGGAUGUUGGGUGCAAUUUGGCACGCAGUAUCGAAGCUAACGCGUUAAGUUCGCCGCCUGGGGAGUACGGUCGCAAGACUGAAACUCAAAGGAAUUGACGGGGGCCCGCACAAGCGGUGGAGUAUGUGGUUUAAUUCGAUGCAACGCGAAGAACCUUACCUGGCCUUG